rnacentral:rRNA from 1 species
UUACAAGAACGCCCGGGCUUCGGCCUGGUUAUUCAUAACCCUUUGUUGUCCGACUCUGUUGCCUCCGGGGCGACCCUGCCUUCGGGCGGGGGCUCCGGGUGGACACUUCAAACUCUUGCGUAACUUUGCAGUCUGAGUAAACUUAAUUAAUAAAUUAAAACUUUUAACAACGGAUCUCUUGGUUCUGGCAUCGAUGAAGAACGCAGCGAAAUGCGAUAAGUAAUGUGAAUUGCAGAAUUCAGUGAAUCAUCGAAUCUUUGAACGCACAUUGCGCCCCCUGGUAUUCCGGGGGGCAUGCCUGUUCGAGCGUCAUUUCACCACUCAAGCCUCGCUUGGUAUUGGGCAACGCGGUCCGCCGCGUGCCUCAAAUCGUCCGGCUGGGUCUUCUGUCCCCUAAGCGUUGUGGAAACUAUUCGCUAAAGGGUGUUCGGGAGGCUACGCCGUAAAACAACCCCAUUUCUAAGGUUGACCUCGGAUCAGGUAGGGAUACCCGCUGAACUUAAGCAUAUCAAUAA